GAAGUUGACCAGAUAGUCGCUGCUAAUUUAAAUAUUUAUUAAUUAGGAGAGGAAAGUCCGGGCUCUAAAGGGCUAAAAGUGCCAGAUAAUGUCUGGGGGGUGUGAACCUACGACUAGUGCAACAGAAAAAAACCUCCGAUUUUAAAAAAAUAAAAAUUUGGGAAGGGUGAAAAGGUGAGGUAAGAGCUCACCGCAAAAUUAGCAAUAAUUUUGGCAGUGUAAACUCCACUUAGAGCAAAGCUAAAUAAGGUAAAAAAAGUUAUAGCCCUUACUUAAAAACCUGGGUAAGCUGCUUGAACUAACAAGUGAUUGUUAGUCUAGAGAAAUGACUAUCUAAAACAAAACCCGGCUUAUAGGUCAACUUCUUUU
rnacentral:RNase_P_RNA from 2 species